rnacentral:rRNA from 1 species
GACGAACGCUGGCGGCGUGCUUAACACAUGCAAGUCGAACGGAAAGGCCCUGCUUUUGUGGGGUGCUCGAGUGGCGAACGGGUGAGUAACACGUGAGUAACCUGCCCUUGACUUUGGGAUAACUUCAGGAAACUGGGGCUAAUACCGGAUAGGAGCUCCUGCUGCAUGGUGGGGGUUGGAAAGUUUCGGCGGUUGGGGAUGGACUCGCGGCUUAUCAGCUUGUUGGUGGGGUAGUGGCUUACCAAGGCUUUGACGGGUAGCCGGCCUGAGAGGGUGACCGGCCACAUUGGGACUGAGAUACGGCCCAGACUCCUACGGGAGGCAGAAGUGGGGAAUAUUGCACAAUGGGCGGAAGACUGAUGCAGCAACGCCGCGUGCGGGAUGACGGCCUGCGGGUUGUAAACCGCUUUCGCCUGUGACGAAGCGUGAGUGACGGUAAUGGGUAAAGAAGCACCGGCUAACUACGUG